AAUAGAUACCCCGGUAGUCCACGCCCUAAACGAUGGAUGCUAGGUUUGCGGGGUAUCGACCCCCUGUGAGCCGUAGGUAACCCGUUAAGCAUCCCGCCUGGGGACUACGACCGCAAGGUUAAAACUCAAAGGAAUUGACGGGGGCCCGCACAAGCAGCGGAGCGUGUGGUUUAAUUCGAUGCUAAGCGAAGAACCUUACCAGGGCUUGACAUGUAAGUGGUACUGAACCGAAAGGCAAGGGACCCGCAAGGGAGCUUACACAGGUGCUGCAUGGUUGUCGUCAGCUCGUGCCGUGAGGUGUUGGGUUAAGUCCCGCAACGAGCGCAACCCUUGUCGCUAGUUAAAUUCUCUAGCGAGACUGCCCCUAAAAGGGAGGAAGGAGGGGAUGAUGUCAAAUCAUCAUGGCUCUUACGUCCUGGGCUACACACACGCUACAAUGGCCAGUACAGACGGUUGCUAAAUCGCGAGAUGGAGCCAAUCCGACAAAGCUGGUCUCAGUUGGGAUUGCAGGCUGAACCCGCCUGCAUGAA
rnacentral:rRNA from 1 species